GACAGAGGGUGCAAACGUUGUUCGGAAUUACUGGGCGUAAAGCGCGUGUAGGCUGUUCGGAAAGUCGGAUGUGAAAGCCCCGGGCUUAACCUGGGAAUGGCAUUUGGGACUGCAAGGCUUGAGUGCGGCAGAGGAGACUGGAAUUCCUGGUGUAGCAGUGAAAUGCGUAGAUAUCAGGAGGAACACCGGUGGCGAAGGCGGCCCACUGGAUCGGUACUGACGCUGAGGUGCGAAAGCGUGGGGAGCAAACAGG
rnacentral:rRNA from 1 species